rnacentral:rRNA from 1 species
AUUGAACGCUGGCGGCAGGCCUAACACAUGCAAGUCGAACGAGUGGCGGACGGGUGAGUAAUGUCUGGGAAACUGCCCGAUGGAGGGGGAUAACUACUGGAAACGGUAGCUAAUACCGCAUACCAUCGGAUGUGCCCAGAUGGGAUUAGCUAGUAGGUGGGGAAACGGCUCACCUAGGCGACGAUCCCUAGCUGGUAUGAGAGGAUGACCAGCAACACGGGAACUGAGACACGGUCCAGACUCCUACGGGAGGCAGCGGUGGGGAAUAUUGCACAAUGGGCGGAAGCCUGAUGCAGCCAUGCCGCGUGGAUGAAGAAGGCCUUCGGGUUGUAAAGUACUUUCAGCGAGGAGGCGUUACUCGCAGAAGAAGCACCGGCUAACUCCGUGCCAGCCGCCGCGGGAAUC